rnacentral:rRNA from 1 species
UCCGAGUUGUAAUUUGCAGAGGGCGCUUUGGUGUUGGCAGCGGUCCAAGUUCCUUGGAACAGGACGUCACAGAGGGUGAGAAUCCCGUACGUGGUCGCUAGCCUCCGCCGUGUAAAGCCCCUUCGACGAGUCGAGUUGUUUGGGAAUGCAGCUCUAAAUGGGAGGUAAAUUUCUUCUAAAGCUAAAUACUGGCCAGAGACCGAUAGCGCACAAGUAGAGUGAUCGAAAGAUGAAAAGCACUUUGGAAAGAGAGUCAAAUAGCACGUGAAAUUGUUGAAAGGGAAGCGCUUGCAGCCAGACUUGCCUGUAGUUGCUCAUCCGGGCUUUUGCCCGGUGCACUCUUCUACAGGCAGGCCAGCAUCAGUUUGGGCGGUUGGAUAAAGGUCUCUAUCACGUACCUCUCUUCGGGGAGGCCUUAUAGGGGAGAUGUCAUGCAACCAGCCUGGACUGAGGUCCGCGCAUUUGCUAGGAUGCUGGCGUAAUGGCUGUAAGCGGCCCGUCUUGAAACACGGACCAAGGAGUCUAACAUCUAUGCGAGUGUUUGGGUGUCAAGCCCGAGCGCGUAAUGAAAGUGAACGGAGGUGGGAACCCUUUGGGUGCACCAUCGACCGAUCCUGAUGUCUUCGGAAGGAUUUGAGUAAGAGCAUGGCUGUUGGGACCCGAAAGAUGGUGAACUAUGCUUGAAUA